GGAGCAAACAGGAUUAGAUACCCUGGUAGUCCACGCCGUAAACGAUGUCGACUUGGAGGUUGUGCCCUUGAGGCGUGGCUUCCGGAGCUAACGCGUUAAGUCGACCGCCUGGGGAGUACGGCCGCAAGGUUAAAACUCAAAUGAAUUGACGGGGGCCCGCACAAGCGGUGGAGCAUGUGGUUUAAUUCGAUGCAACGCGAAGAACCUUACCUGGUCUUGACAUCCACGGAACUUUCCAGAGAUGAGAAGGUGCCUUCGGGAACCGUGAGACAGGUGCUGCAUGGCUGUCGUCAGCUCGUGUUGUGAAAUGUUGGGUUAAGUCCCGCAACGAGCGCAACCCUUAUCCUUUGUUGCCAGCGGUCCGGCCGGGAACUCAAAGGAGACUGCCAGUGAUAAACUGGAGGAAGGUGGGGAUGACGUCAAGUCAUCAUGGCCCUUACGACCAGGGCUACACACGUGCUACAAUGGCGCAUACAAAGAGAAGCGACCUCGCGAGAGCAAGCGGACCUCAUAAAGUGCGUCGUAGUCCGGAUUGGAGUCUGCAACUCGACUCCAUGAAGUCGGAAUCGCUAGUAAUCGUGGAUCAGAAUGCCACGGUGAAUACGUUCCCGGGCCUUGUACACACCGCCCGUCACACCAUGGGAGUGGGUUGCAAAAGAAGUAGGUAGCUUAACCUU
rnacentral:rRNA from 1 species